rnacentral:lncRNA from 1 species
UACACAUAGCAUACAUCUGCUUUCAUUUUUAAUUUAAGUGGCUAUCCAACAAUACAUUCAGCAACGUCUUCCUAUUGAAGUCGUUUGCAAUUAUAGACAACUCAUUUGAAGAAAUGCACUUAAAACCAUACUUACACACUGCAACUGCUUACAAUUCAGAAAUGUAUUAGCAUAACCAUGUACCUUCAUAAAAGCUUAUAGAGAUAACCUUGAACCCAACGACAACUUAAAGGUCCACUGUAAUAGUGAAGCAUUCCAGUUGUUGCUAUGCACGAAAAUAGACAGAGAAACACACUCAAGAUAUUUGUUUUUGCUAGGAAACAGUAAAAUUUGUGUAUAACAAUUUGUAGUACAAGGUUGAACAGUAGAGGAUGCCAUUACUUCAUUAGUUGACGAGAAGUCGAGAACUUCUCAAAUUACAGGAUGAUCAAAGGGCCUUACACUUCAAUUUUCUACAGAGAUUCUAUAAACUUAAAACUAACAUACUCAAAUCUCUUCCUGAUGAUCCGAAAUGAUACUCUCUCAAACUUAGCAAGGUGAAAAUCUAGUCGGUAUCCAUUUUCUCUUCCUUCUCAAUGCUUUUGCCUGACCAUAGCUUGAUUGUUCGAUCAUGAGAUACAGUGACAAUGUGUUGCCCAUCUGAAUAAAAUAGAAGAGAAAUAGACAAAUAAGCAUAUGCGAAACGUGAAAUAAUGUGUUGCCCAUCUGAAAAAAUAGAAGAGAAACACACAAAUAAGCAUAUGCGAAACAUGAAACAAAGGCUUGAGAUUCGAGAAAUAUCAACAUUUUCUUUUGGCACAGGGUGAGGUAAGAUGGGAUAAGCCAAAGUCACGGGACCUACAAGCCUCAUUCGGUGCCUCAAAAAGUUUCAAGUUAAACAGGUUAUUGAUUAAAACUAAGAAAAGUAUUGCAAAACAGAAUUCCAAACAAACUUAAGGGACCAGCAUUAAAUAACUAAAUUCCUACAAGGUGAUAGCUGAAAGGGAGAGAAAGUAGCAAAUGCUUCACAUUCAUUCAAAUGACUGCUCGGGUACGAGGCAUUGUCAAAACACCAGACUUAUUCAUAUAAUUUUCUGGGUCCUGCUUGGAAAAAUUCGGAGGGUGAGGUACUCAUGAUGGUAAAUCUUGAGGGAGUGGCAAUGUGCCAAAUUAUAAGGUAUGAUUAACAUUGAAACAUUAGUAUAACGAAAAAAGAAGAUGAGGGACAAGAUUUGGUCCAAUAAUCAGAGAUAAGCCUUACUAAUCAAGGGUGUGGUAUGACAUAUAAUUGCAAUCACGAGGCAUGACAUCCCACACAGAAAACAGAACUAACACCAAUAGCUACAGAGUCUUAAAGUCCCAGGUUCAUGCAUUAUAUCGCUGUGCGACUUAAACAGUAGAUGAGACAAACACAACAAUUCUAUUUUGCUGUCUGAGCAGUUUAAGAAUUUAUUUUGCUCAGAUUAUGCCCUAUCUUUAUUUAUCCGGAAUAUCUAGUUGGUCAUUUCUCUUCGACUUAUGCAAUUCAUCCCACAGACAAAAUAAAGAAUUGUUAACUCAUCUCCCUCAAGUUUUCAGCCUUGUUCUGUGAGUUUUGACAGAUUUUUUAAACUAAUCAGCCUAGUGAACACUCGUGCAGCAUAUUAAAAGGAAAAAUAAUGCUCAAUGUUCAGAUCAACUGUAGAAAGUGGAUGGAACAACUAAAAGUUGCACCAAAAUAGUACAUGACAAAGAUUCAUGUGUGGUGGUUGGGAGNNNNNNNNNNNNNNNNNNNNNNNNNNNNNNNNNNNNNNNNNNNNNNNNNNNNNNNNNNNNNNNNNNNNNNNNNNNNNNNNNNNNNNNNNNNNNNNNCAAGCAGUCUAAUUUUCAGUCAUGUGGCAAUGUAACAGUGAAAGCACCAAUCUACACAAAUACAAACAUAGUAGCAAUGUCCAAAUUUGUAGGUCCCACGGAGGGCUGCUUCAUUGGGAUUUGAGAUUUAGGAGGAACCUACAGGAUUGGGAGAUGGAAGAAUUUCACAAUCUAGCCGAGUUAUUAUAUGAGUUGGAUACACCGAAUAAUGUAUCGUAUGUAUGGAGAUGGCGGGAGAGUAAAAAUGGGUUAUUCACGGUUAAAUCUUAUUAUAAGAGGUUAUUAGUAGGAGUCUGGGAGAGGAACAAGUUUUCCCUCAUUAAUCUAUUUGGAUUCCCAGAGCACCAAGAAAGAUGUGUUUCUUUGUAAGGUUGGCGGCGAGGGAAGCGAUUUUGAUAGCGGAAAAUCUGAGAAAGAGAAGGAUCACCUAUAACUUGGACAUUGCUAUCAAAAUUGAAAAUUGUAGUACAUUAGUGCAUUCAUAGUUACAUUGUCUACUCAGUUGCAAAAUUUGUACAUUGCUACAAAAAUACAAACAUAGUAGCAAUGUCCAAAUUUUGCAACUGAGUAGACAAUGUAACUAUGAAUGCACCAAUGUACUACAAUUUUCAAUUUUGAUAAAUUCCAUUGUCAGCAUAUGAGCAAAAUCAAGGAAAUAACCAAGCAUAUACGCCUCAAAAAUUAUAAAAGAGAUCCUAAAAUCAGAGUUAGCUUGGAGAAAGGGGGUUCAAAUGUUCAAUUGGACCCAGUUAGCUAGGAGAAAGGGGGUUCAAAUGUUCAAUUGAACCCACUGGUCAAAAGAUUAUACUAUGCAAACAAAGUAAAAGAGAAAUUUUUUAUUACAUUUACACUUUUGAAUCCCACUAACGUAGAUGAAAAUUCCAGUGAAGUGGUAAAGGGCAAGGGUGGAUCUAUAGUGUUAGCGACAAGUUCAUGAAAAUCCAAUAGCUUUUGUUCAAACCCCGUAUAUGUAUUAAGAAAUCCAAUAAGUACCUAUAAAUAUUUUAUUGUGUACCCAGUUAUUACUAUAUAUAAACUUAAGGUCGUUAUAGGGACCAAUAAACUUCAAAUACUAGAUGCACCUAUGUUAAGAGAGGUCCAAAAGCUGCUUUUAAGUCAUAAGUUCAAACUUAAAUUAUGACAUUCUAGUAUUUUUUGAGUCUCUUUAUUUAAAUCACCAGCUCCGCCACUACCUAUAAUGACCCAAAGUUUACAAUUGGAGAAAUCCCUCUUCUAAAACCCAUGCUUCAGCAUCAGGGACAAAGCUAGAAUGCUGGUUACGAGCCACUAGCUUUAGUUUAAACACUGUAUUUUCUUAAAAAAUCCAUUAAAAAUAUACAAAUUAUUAAUUUAGAACCCCGUAACUUAAAAAGAACUAGAAUCUCGAACUCGUAAGCUUCAAAUCCUGGCUUUGUUGCAUAUAUGUAAUCUGUAUGGAACCUCACACAAAUUUUAUAAUCAACAAUAAUCUUAUACUAACGUAUUUCACCACAAUAAUCAAAGCUGUGCGAUUCACAUUGGCUCGAAAUAGGAAUUAGUUUUUACAAUGGAAGCCGAUAAACAGAGAGAGUGAAAGGAGAAACUUACGGAGCUCGCCGGAAGAUGCUGCCAGGGGUUGCAACGAGAGGCGGAUUGGCGGUGGCGGUGGCGGUGGCGGUGGCGGUGGCGGUGGCGCUCCGGCGGAGGGCAGUAGGGAGGGUUUAUCAACGAGGAGAAAAUAUAUGAGAAUAUAAUGCUGAAGGUUUAAAGAAAUGUAAUUGAAAAAGCUAAGGUGGGCGUUUGGACGUAAGAAUGGUAAAAUUCCGGAAAAUAGUGGGGGAAAAUUUAAAUAUGUUAUGAAAUAAUAUAAGAACAAGAAUAAUAGAGAGAAAAGUAGAGAGAGGAGUAU